rnacentral:rRNA from 1 species
AUUGAACGCUGGCGGCAGGCUUAACACAUGCAAGUCGAGCGGGGUGAUGGUGCUUGCACUAUCACUUAGCGGCGGACGGGUGAGUAAUGCUUAGGAAUCUGCCUAUUAGUGGGGGACAACAUCUCGAAAGGGAUGCUAAUACCGCAUACGUCCUACGGAAGAAAGCAGGGGAUCACUUGUGACCUUGCGCUAAUAGAUGUGCCUAGGUCGGAUUAGCUAGUUGGUGGGGUAAAGGCCUACCAAGGCGACGAUCUGUAGCGGGUAUGAGAGGAUGAGCCGCCACACUGGGACUGAGACACGGCCCAGACUCCUGCGGGAGGCAGCAGUGGGGAAUAUUGGACAAUGGGGGGAACCCUGAUCCAGCCAUGCCGCGUGUGUGAAGAAGGCCUUAUGGUUGUAAAGCACUUUAAGCGAGGAGGAGGCUCUUUUGGUUAAUACCCAAGAUGAGUGGACGUUACUCGCAGAAUAAGCACCGGCUAACUCUGUGCCAGCAGCCGCGGUAA